rnacentral:rRNA from 3 species
AUCUGCGAUAAGCGCCGGUAAGGUGAUAUGAACCGUUAUAACCGGCGAUACCCGAAUGGGGAAACCCAGUGUGAUUCGUCACACUAUCAUUAACUGAAUCCAUAGGUUAAUGAGGCGAACCGGGGGAACUGAAACAUCUAAGUACCCCGAGGAAAAGAAAUCAACCGAGAUUCCCCCAGUAGCGGCGAGCGAACGGGGAGGAGCCCAGAGCCUGAAUCAGCAUGUGUGUUAGUGGAAGCGUCUGGAAAGGCGCGCGAUACAGGGUGACAGCCCCGUACACAAAAGCGCAUGUGCUGUGAGCUCGAUGAGUAGGGCGGGACACGUGGUAUCCUGUCUGAAUAUGGGGGGACCAUCCUCCAAGGCUAAAUACUCCUGACUGACCGAUAGUGAACCAGUACCGUGAGGGAAAGGCGAAAAGAACCCCGGCGAGGGGAGUGAAAAAGAACCUGAAACCGUGUACGUACAAGCAGUGGGAGCACCCUUUGGGUGUGACUGCGUACCUUUUGUAUAAUGGGUCAGCGACUUAUAUUCUGUAGCAAGGUUAACCGAAUAGGGGAGCCGGAGGGAAACCGAGUCUUAACCGGGCGUUAAGUUGCAGGGUAUAGACCCGAAACCCGGUGAUCUAGCCAUGGGCAGGUUGAAGGUUGGGUAACACUAACUGGAGGACCGAACCGACUAAUGUUGAAAAAUUAGCGGAUGACCUGUGGCUGGGGGUGAAAGGCCAAUCAAACCGGGAGAUAGCUGGUUCUCCCCGAAAGCUAUUUAGGUAGCGCCUCGUGAAUUCAUCUCCGGGGGUAGAGCACUGUUUCGGCUAGGGGGCCAUCCCGGCUUACCAACCCGAUGCAAACUGCGAAUACCGGAGAAUGUUAUCACGGGAGACACACGGCGGGUGCUAACGUCCGUCGUGAAGAGGGAAACAACCCAGACCGCCAGCUAAGGUCCCAAAGUCAUGGUUAAGUGGGAAACGAUGUGGGAAGGCCCAGACAGCCAGGAUGUUGGCUUAGAAGCAGCCAUCAUUUAAAGAAAGCGUAAUAGCUCACUGGUCGAGUCGGCCUGCGCGGAAGAUGUAACGGGGCUAAACCAUGCACCGAAGCUGCGGCAGCGACACUGUGUGUUGUUGGGUAGGGGAGCGUUCUGUAAGCCUGUGAAGGUGUGUCGUGAGGCAUGCUGGAGGUAUCAGAAGUGCGAAUGCUGACAUAAGUAACGAUAAAGCGGGUGAAAAGCCCGCUCGCCGGAAGACCAAGGGUUCCUGUCCAACGUUAAUCGGGGCAGGGUGAGUCGACCCCUAAGGCGAGGCCGAAAGGCGUAGUCGAUGGGAAACGGGUUAAUAUUCCCGUACUUGGUGUUACUGCGAAGGGGGGACGGAGAAGGCUAUGUUGGCCGGGCGACGGUUGUCCCGGUUUAAGCGUGUAGGUGUGUGUUCCAGGUAAAUCCGGUUCACUUUAACACUGAGGCGUGACGACGAGGCACUACGGUGCUGAAGCAACAAAUGCCCUGCUUCCAGGAAAAGCCUCUAAGCAUCAGGUAACAUCAAAUCGUACCCCAAACCGACACAGGUGGUCAGGUAGAGAAUACCAAGGCGCUUGAGAGAACUCGGGUGAAGGAACUAGGCAAAAUGGUGCCGUAACUUCGGGAGAAGGCACGCUGACACGUAGGUGAAGUGAUUUACUCAUGGAGCUGAAGUCAGUCGAAGAUACCAGCUGGCUGCAACUGUUUAUUAAAAACACAGCACUGUGCAAACACGAAAGUGGACGUAUACGGUGUGACGCCUGCCCGGUGCCGGAAGGUUAAUUGAUGGGGUCAGCGCAAGCGAAGCUCCUGAUCGAAGCCCCGGUAAACGGCGGCCGUAACUAUAACGGUCCUAAGGUAGCGAAAUUCCUUGUCGGGUAAGUUCCGACCUGCACGAAUGGCGUAAUGAUGGCCAGGCUGUCUCCACCCGAGACUCAGUGAAAUUGAACUCGCUGUGAAGAUGCAGUGUACCCGCGGCAAGACGGAAAGACCCCGUGAACCUUUACUAUAGCUUGACACUGAACAUUGAGCCUUGAUGUGUAGGAUAGGUGGGAGGCUUUGAAGUGUGGACGCCAGUCUGCAUGGAGCCGACCUUGAAAUACCACCCUUUAAUGUUUGAUGUUCUAACGUGGACCCGUUACCCGGGUUGCGGACAGUGUCUGGUGGGUAGUUUGACUGGGGCGGUCUCCUCCUAAAGAGUAACGGAGGAGCACGAAGGUUGGCUAAUCCUGGUCGGACAUCAGGAGGUUAGUGCAAUGGCAUAAGCCAGCUUGACUGCGAGCGUGACGGCGCGAGCAGGUGCGAAAGCAGGUCAUAGUGAUCCGGUGGUUCUGAAUGGAAGGGCCAUCGCUCAACGGAUAAAAGGUACUCCGGGGAUAACAGGCUGAUACCGCCCAAGAGUUCAUAUCGACGGCGGUGUUUGGCACCUCGAUGUCGGCUCAUCACAUCCUGGGGCUGAAGUAGGUCCCAAGGGUAUGGCUGUUCGCCAUUUAAAGUGGUACGCGAGCUGGGUUUAGAACGUCGUGAGACAGUUCGGUCCCUAUCUGCCGUGGGCGCUGGAGAACUGAGGGGGGCUGCUCCUAGUACGAGAGGACCGGAGUGGACGCAUCACUGGUGUUCGGGUUGUCAUGCCAAUGGCACUGCCCGGUAGCUAAAUGCGGAAGAGAUAAGUGCUGAAAGCAUCUAAGCACGAAACUUGCCCCGA